rnacentral:rRNA from 1 species
UACGUAGGGUGCGAGCGUUAAUCGGAAUUACUGGGCGUAAAGCGUGCGCAGGCGGUUUUGUAAGCCAGAUGUGAAAUCCCCGGGCUUAACCUGGGAAUGGCAUUUGGGACUGCAAGGCUGGAGUGCGGCAGAGGAGACUGGAAUUCCUGGUGUAGCAGUGAAAUGCGUAGAUAUCAGGAGGAACACCGGCGGCGUAGACGGCUUACUGGACCAUGACUGACGCUGAGGCACGAAAGCGUGGGGAGCAAACAGG